GACGAACGCUGGCGGCGUGCCUAAUACAUGCAAGUCGAGCGAAGCGGCGGAUGGGUGAGUAACGCGUGGGUAACCGGCCCUAAUGCCUGGGAUACCAUCUGGAAACAGAUACUAAUAUCGGAUACUUAAGGAUGGACCGGCUUUGCAUUAGCUGGUUGGUAAGGUAACGGCCUACCAAGGCGAUGAUGCCUAGCCGGGUUGAGAGGCUGAUCGGCCACAUUGGGACUGAGACACGGCCCAGACUCCUACGGGAGGCAGCAGUAGGGAAUCUUCCACAAUGGGCGAAAGUCUGAUGCAGCAACGCCGCGUGAGUGAAGAAGGUUUUCGGAUCGUAAAGCUCUUUUGUUGGUGAGGCGGUACCCACCCAAAAAGUCACGGCUAACUACGUGCCAGCAGCCGCGGUAAUAC
rnacentral:rRNA from 1 species